UACGUAGGUGGCAAGCGUUAUCCGGAUUUACUGGGUGUAAAGGGGGCGCAGACGGCGAUGCAAGCCAGGAGUGAAAGCCCGGGGCCCAACCCCGGGACUGCUCUUGGAACUGCGUGGCUGGAGUGCAGGAGGGGCAGGCGGAAUUCCUGGUGUAGCGGUGAAAUGCGUAGAUAUCACGAAGAACUCCGAUUGCGAAGGCAGCAUACCGGUGCACAACUGACGCUCAGGCACGAAAGCGUGGGUAUCGAACAGG
rnacentral:rRNA from 1 species